rnacentral:rRNA from 1 species
GACGAACGCUGGCGGCGUGCCUAAUACAUGCAAGUAGAACGCUGAAGUCUGGUGCUUGCACUAGACGGAUGAGUUGCGAACGGGUGAGUAACGCGUAGGUAACCUGCCUCAUAGCGGGGGAUAACUAUUGGAAACGAUAGCUAAUACCGCAUAACAGUAUUUACCGCAUGGUAGAUGCUUGAAAGGAGCAAUUGCUUCACUAUGAGAUGGACCUGCGUUGUAUUAGCUAGUUGGUGAGGUAACGGCCCACCAAGGCGACGAUCCAUAGCCGACCUGAGAGGGUGACCGGCCACAUUGGGACUGAGACACGGCCCAG